UUCGUUUUACCCUUAGCAGCCUUC
rnacentral:siRNA from 1 species